rnacentral:rRNA from 1 species
CAAACAGGAUGAGGCUUGGCUCUCGGGUGACGAGGGGCGGACGGGUGAGUAAUGUCUGGGAAACUGCCUGAUGGAGGGGGAUAACUACUGGAAACGGUAGCUAAUACCGCAUAACGUCGCAAGACCAAAGAGGGGGACCUUCGGGCCUCUUGCCAUCAGAUGUGCCCAGAUGGGAUUAGCUGGUAGGUGGGGUAACGGCUCACCUAGGCGACGAUCCCUAGCUGGUCUGAGAGGAUGACCAGCCACACUGGAACUGAGACACGGUCCAGACUCCUACGGGAGGCAGCAGUGGGGAAUAUUGCACAAUGGGCGCAAGCCUGAUGCAGCCAUGCCGCGUGUGUGAAGAAGGCCUUCGGGUUGUAAAGCACUUUCAGCGGGGAGGAAGGGGGUGAGGUUAAUAACCUCAUCGAUUGACGUUACCCGCAGAAAAAGCACCGGCUAACUCCGUGCCAGCAGCCGCGGUAAUACGGAGGGUGCAAGCGUUAAUCGGAAUUACUGGGCGUAAAGCGCACGCAGGCGGUCUGUCAAGUCGGAUGUGAAAUCCCCGGGCUCAACCUGGGAACUGCAUUCGAAACUGGCAGGCUAGAGUCUUGUAGAGGGGGGUAGAAUUCCAGGUGUAGCGGUGAAAUGCGUAGAGAUCUGGAGGAAUACCGGUGGCGAAGGCGGCCCCCUGGACAAAGACUGACGCUCAGGUGCGAAAGCGUGGGGAGCAAACAGGAUUAGAUACCCUGGUAGUCCACGCUGUAAACGAUGUCGACUUGGAGGUUGUGCCCUUGAGGCGUGGCUUCCGGAGCUAACGCGUUAAGUCGACCGCCUGGGGAGUACGGCCGCAAGGUUAAAACUCAAAUGAAUUGACGGGGGCCCGCACAAGCGGUGGAGCAUGUGGUUUAAUUCGAUGCAACGCGAAGAACCUUACCUGCUCUUGACAUCCAGAGAACUUAGCAGAGAUGGUUUGGUGCCUUCGGGAACUGUGAGACAGGUGCUGCAUGGCUGUCGUCAGCUCGUGUUGUGAAAUGUUGGGUUAAGUCCCGCAACGAGCGCAACCCUUAUCCUUUGUUGCCAGCGGUUAGGCCGGGAACUCAAAGGAGACUGCCAGUGAUAAACUGGAGGAAGGUGGGGAUGACGUCAAGUCAUCAUGGCCCUUACGAGUAGGGCUACACACGUGCUACAAUGGCGUAUACAAAGAGAAGCGACCUCGCGAGAGCAAGCGGACCUCAUAAAGUAUGUCGUAGUCCGGAUUGGAGUCUGCAACUCGACUCCAUGAAGUCGGAAUCGCUAGUAAUCGUGGAUCAGAAUGCUACGGUGAAUACGUUCCCGGGCCUUGUACACACCGCCCGUCACACCAUGGGAGUGGGUUGCAAAAGAAGUAGGUAGCCGUUUAA